AAGAUAUAGCAUAUUCUUUCUGAAUAUUACUUUAUUAACCCAUUCCGAGUACCUUACCCGUUGCUUCCGCGAGGCUGUCCUCACGGCCCUCUGAAGAUUUAUCUUUGGGAGUCCUUGCGGAAGGUAUACAAUAAACUCUUGCAUUACCAUGUCAUCUGUCUGAAUCUGUUUAAACAAAAUAUUA
rnacentral:misc_RNA from 1 species